UUGUAAUUUGAUGCUAAUUCUGCUUUCCUAGGAGGGGUUGCAGACAAGGAAUGAGUCCCGUACUCAGGUGACUUCUUGUGAACCAAUCCCCUAAGGAAUAAAGAAGCCAAUCACUGGGUGAGUAGGCGGGACUUCUGGGUUGGAUGGAGGAAGAGAGGAAGCAGGAGAGAGUUAGGUCUUUUUUGGACGGGGAUAGCGUGAGGACAAGAUUUAAUUAUGAGUGGCUCCUGGUUUCAAUGGUGGAUCUGUCAGGAUUCGCCACAGGAGGAUUUAGAUUUAAUAAGACUUACAGAUUAGAAUUUUAGUUGAUGCACUCAGUGAUUGAGUUUAUGUUGUUUCUGAACUAAGCUUGUGUUGUGUUUUCCUUCACACAGCAGCUUGUCGGGGUUCAAGAGAGAAAGAUACGGUUGGCAAAGCAUGGAUUUGCCUGAGGUGCACCACAAAGAACUCUCAGCUACUUUUCCAUCAACAUGUUUGCCUGUGUGUGACCAUACUUCCUGCCAUGAUGAAAAUUGACUAAAUUUCUAAAACUGCAAGUUUCAAAACAUGGAAAAGAAGACAUAAAUGCACAAAGGCAUCUCACAAAACUGUCACAUAAUAUAAAAACACCAGAACUGAGCUGUUAAAACCAUGGCUCAGGAUUCAUCCAUGUAUCUCAGCAACACAUUCAGUGCCUUAAGGUGAGAAAAUACAGUCUGACAGAAGAAAAAAAAAAACCACUCA
rnacentral:lncRNA from 1 species